GACGGAGGUCCCUAGCGUUGUUCGGAAUUACUGGGCUUAAAGCGCGUGUAGGCGGGGUGGCAAGUACCGUGUGAAAUCCCCGGGCUCAACCCGGGAAUGGCUCGGUAUACUGUCACUCUUGAGGCAGGUAGGGGUCACUGGAACCUUAGGUGGAGCGGUGAAAUGCGUAGAUAUCUAAGGGAACGCCUGUGGCGAAAGCGGGUGACUGGGCCUGCCCUGACGCUGAGACGCGAAAGCGUAGGGAGCAAACGGG
rnacentral:rRNA from 1 species